AGUGUCCAGCUGGCCUGUUUUGGAUGUGUCCUGUUGGGUCUUGGUGGGGGUUGAGCUGUGGGCUGGUGGUGUGGGCGCCUCUUCUGUGUCUUGGGUUCUGCUCUCUUCAUCCCAUAUGGCUGGGGUAUCGUCCACAUAUCGUGUGUGCAGGCUAGUGAAUGCUUGGGGGUUUCUGGGGUCAUCCUCUCUGUCUGCCUUGGUGGUGUUUCUGUUGGGGUGCCUGCCAUUGGGCUUCUGAUCACGACUCUUCGUGGUUGUUUGGGGAAUUUCCCUUUGUACGAGAGGUGGGAUUCACAGCAGACUGGGUGGGUGGGUUCUCUUGGGAGCUCUGCAUCCAUGCACUGUGUAGGCGCGUUUUCUGGUAGGAGC
rnacentral:lncRNA from 1 species